UACGGGGGGGGCAAGCGUUGUUCGGAAUUACUGGGCGUAAAGCGUGCGCAGGCGGUUUUGUAAGUCUGACGUGAAAUCCCCGGGCUUAACCUGGGAAUUGCGUUGGAGACUGCAAGGCUAGAAUCUGGCAGAGGGGGGUAGAAUUCCACGUGUAGCAGUGAAAUGCGUAGAGAUGUGGAGGAACACCUAUGGCGAAGGCAGCUCGCUGGGACGGUACUGACGCUGAGGCGCGAAAGCGUGGGGAGCGAACAGG
rnacentral:rRNA from 1 species